UGUGCGUGUGUAUGCGUGUGUGUCUGUGUGUAUGUGAGAGAGAGAGGGAGUGUGUGUCUGUGUGUCUGUGUUAGUGUUCGUCCCCCAGUACCGCUUGACAACUUAGUGGUUCGGCAAACAUGAGGGAUAAAAUAAGUACCGGGCUUAACAAAACAAUAAGUACUGGGGACGGUUAUUUCGACUAAUAAAUUCUUCAAGGCGGUACCCCAGUAUUCUCGCAGUCUAGUGACUGAAAUAAAAGAUAAAAGAUAAAAGAUAAAAGAUAUACAUGUAUGUUAGUAAGUGCGUAUAUAUGUAUUACACAGUGACUUAUUUCCUUCAUGUCUUUCUACCAACUUCUCUACAUGCACACAUAUAUAUUAUGGAUAUGAUUUACAAUCCACAUAUGAAGAAAAGAUUGUCAUGCUAUUAAGUACGAGACACAACUGGAGUUGAAAGCGGGAGACAGUUUGUUGACAAACAGCAAAGAAACGAACCGAAUACAGAGUCACUGGACUGCGGCCAUGCUGGGGCACCGCCUUGAAGAAUUUUUAGUCGAAUGUAUCGACCCCAGAAUCUUUUUUUAGGUGAAUUUCAACCAGCAUAUAAAGUUAAGCCUAGAAAGUUUCUCCACACGCUAAAAAUGACAGCCAAGUGGCUGCGGUCAUGCUGGUGCACAUAUAAUUAUUCAAUUGAACACCACACAUCCAUUUCCAAGAGACCUGGAGGAAAUUAUCAUACAUUCAGGCGAAUAAGACAUACAAGUGCAAUGCGGUUGCCGGCAGUAACGAACUACAAGUGGUCAGAAAACUAAUCGAUCGAUGUAGACGUGAUUUCACGUUGUAUGUGGUAAAUAUAAUUCCUAAAGAUCUACUGACGGAGGCGUUAAAUAUUCUGAGGCAGAUAAAUAAUAAUUGUAUGCAAUCAUUGCCAGAUGGCUGCAUAAGGGCUUACUGAUAUGUUAUAUUUAGCGUUGGACAACACUAUUUAGAGCAAGGAUAUAUUAUUCAGCCACCAAAACGUGUUUGCUCACUUUAUUCCUGCCGACAGGGUUGAAAAUGUUAUUUGUUAAUCGAUAUUACGUGUUCCUUUUAAUCAAGCACUGAACAUAUUGAUUUUCAAAACUUACUGUUUUACUGCAAUGUCAAUAAAAAUUUA